AGUACAGAGGAGAGAAAAGAAAACCCAGCCACGACUCUGCCUUCCGAUCCCAUCUCCGCCUCCAUCGCGCCACCACCUCCUGCUGCCCCACAUCGCCGCGCGCCGCUGGCCCCUGGCCCCCAUCGCCGCGCGCCGCCGCCUGUCUAACUCCUCCCGUAAAUCGGCUCGGGAGAGAGGAGGGGAGGGGAAGAUCCCAUGGAGGCGGAGGAACACCAAACGUCCUUGCCUGCAGCGAAGACGGUGCCCAGCCUCCUCGACAGCGCGCGACUCCUACUUGCCGCACGAACGGCCGCGUCGCCGAGCUGCAGCGGGUGCCACCGCGGACGAGACGCCGCAAUGCCGCGUGGUGACGCCGCUUGUGUCGGGGCCCGAAGCGCCCGCGGAGCUGGCACGGUGGUGGUUCUGCUGUAUGUGGGAGCUCGGUUCCGUCCUCAACUUCCUUCGCGUGCGUGUCCCUUUCUACCAUCAUACCCCCAGCGGCCGGCAGAUCUGCGUACUGGGUUUGCUUCUUCGCUUAGGCUUCUAGGAAUUUACUGCUAAUCUUUAGUUUUCUUGCAUUAACUAUUUGAGCAAAUGGUACAGUAGCAACAUGCCUGAUGCCUGCUAUUUCAUCGCUGGAACGUACUUCAUCCAUUGAUUUACUAGAGUAUAUAUGUAUUUGAUCACAUACUCUGUUUAGGCAAUACAUGUUGUUCAACCAGCAUCUCUAGGAUUGGUUAGCAUAUUGAGUGCCUGUUAUGCUCUUGUGCCUUUCAUUUAUCUUUUAUGCUAAGCAGUCACACAAAUGAUGCAGACAUCUUCCUUGGAUUCUCAUGAUUGUUAAUUACAUGUGCAGUCAAUUCCCCCAAUAACCCGCAUGACGAUGGGGUGCGCAACCUGGGUAACCGUCCUAUGUAGAAAACUAAGGGAUUGGUGACAUUGGGUAUAUAUUAUAUAUAUAUGACUGAUACCCCAUGUUGCAAACAAUUUAAUGCCAGUACUGAUAUUCCAUUCAAUUGAUAAACUAACAUUGAUGCAAACUACAGGUUGCAGAAGGUGAUGUACCAAUAGUUGCAUCACAUGGAGCUGAAAUUGAAAUGUACAAGGAGCUUGAACCAUCGAGUCGCUUACUGAUCUUGAAAGCGAUAUGCGACAGACAUUUCGAGGUUCGUGCUAUUACCAUCCUAGGGAGGCAAUGAAGUUUUUCAAAGUGCCAAUCUUUUUAGAUGUGCAUUGCGGUAGAGAACUGUUACCCCAUUUUGAUGCUGUAUGUGUCACAUGUGUUUUGUGUUGCGUAUAUCAAUCCUAACUAUGACUGACUGUUUGAACCGAGUUACAUUAUGUUGAUUUAGAGAAAGCUUAUUUCACUUAUAGAUGAAUGAAAUAUCAAUAGUGCAACAUGACCAAUUUUUGACCUACGGGUAGGAAGUGCAUGAGCUGAUGCUAGCAUGCCCUGACAAAACAUGAAAAAACUGGCUCUCUCUACCGCCUAAGAGAUUGUUUCGAUACAAUUAUUAUAUUUUAGAGAAUAAUUACCAGGUUCUCUGAUGUAGUUGACAGGUUCUCUGAUGUAUUUUAGAAAAUAAUUACAACUAGCUCAGCGACAAGGGCUCUGGGUCAUCAGCUUCGGCAAGUGGAGGUACAAGUUCAGGCACGACGAGCUUUUUUUUGUAAAGAUGUGAUAUUGAUGUUUGAAUCUUCCUUCUGAUCCUGUUAAUGAUAACGAGGUUCUCUUGAUAGAAUGUGAAGUCAACCCUUGUUUUGUUAGCUUUUGCGCUAUAUUGUGUUCUUCGUCAAACACAAAUCGCUACCGACAGGGUGUGGUGUGGACCCCUGGACUUCCACGACACAGCCUUCAGCACUGUUCCAACAUGCUCUGGUCCUCGGACUCUAUUUGUUUGUACAACAUUGAAGACAGCGUGAUGGUUGCCUCCCGGCCAUGGCAGGCAUUCUUCCUGAAGCAGGAGGACAUGCACGUCCCGAUUCAAUGGCGAUGUGUAGAUGUGUUGGCCUAUCACAUGAGCAGCCACAUGGUGACUGUCUUCACGAGACUUCUUCUUUCUACCAAGAGCACCGGCUUCCUGAAGGGACAAAAUUAUGGAGGGGCGGUGAACAGAUGAUGUUAGAGUACUACAUGUGGUGUGUUCCAGCAGCACAAACAUGGUAGCCACGUCUAGCUCCACCUCGGUGCUUCCUCUACUCAUUAAUUUUGCUUUGUGCAUGAUAUCUCCCAUAUUCUUUUAAUUAUAUAUGUGCUUAUUCAUAAUUCA